GGCGUAACUUGAUGGUAUAGUGAGAGAGCCUUAAUUGAAGGUGGAAAAAACAAGUAGCGAACACAACCAGAGACGUAAUAACCAACAUUAUGUAAUGAAGGACCACUUACCUGUGACGUGAAUAGUAAUGGAAAGACUUGGUGACAGCAAUUGCUGGGAUAACACUUAGGGCACAACUUGAAAUACCUUGGAACCUGGAGGAGUAAUACUGUAUACACUGUGUGACGAGACCAAUCUCGCCACAUUGCAUUGGAGAAGCC